rnacentral:rRNA from 1 species
AUUGAACGCUGGCGGCAUGCCUUACACAUGCAAGUCGAACGGUAACAGGUCUUCGGAUGCUGACGAGUGGCGAACGGGUGAGUAAUACAUCGGAACGUGCCUAGUAGUGGGGGAUAACUACUCGAAAGAGUGGCUAAUACCGCAUGAGAUCUACGGAUGAAAGCAGGGGAUCGCAAGACCUUGUGCUACUAGAGCGGCCGAUGGCAGAUUAGGUAGUUGGUGGGAUAAAAGCUUACCAAGCCGACGAUCUGUAGCUGGUCUGAGAGGACGAUCAGCCACACUGGGACUGAGACACGGCCCAGACUCCUACGGGAGGCAGCAGUGGGGAAUUUUGGACAAUGGGCGAAAGCCUGAUCCAGCAAUGCCGCGUGCAGGAUGAAGGCCUUCGGGUUGUAAACUGCUUUUGUACGGAACGAAAAGCCCUGGGUUAAUACCCUGGGGUCAUGACGGUACCGUAAGAAUAAGCACCGGCUAACUACGUGCCAGCAGCCGCUGUAACAC